CCCAGACAGCCAGGAUGUUGGCUUAGAAGCAGCCAUCAUUUAAAGAAAGCGUAAUAGCUCACUGGUCGAGUCGGCCUGCGCGGAAGAUGUAACGGGGCUAAACCAUGCACCGAAGCUGCGGCAGCGAACGUAUCACUUAAAGCGAUUCAGCGGGUUACGAUUGACGGAGCGAAGCGACGUCAAAGCGUAUACAAAGUCGAGUCGGUUUAAGGAUACGUUCGUUGGGUAGGGGAGCGUUCUGUAAGCCUGUGAAGGUGGCCUGUGAGGGUUGCUGGAGGUAUCAGAAGUGCGAAUGCUGACAUAAGUAACGAUAAAGCGGGUGAAAAGCCCGCUCGCCGGAAGACCAAGGGUUCCUGUCCAACGUUAAUCGGGGCAGGGUGAGUCGACCCCUAAGGCGAGGCCGAAAGGCGUAGUCGAUGGGAAACAGGUUAAUAUUCCUGUACUUGGUGUUACUGCGAAGGGGGGACGGAGAAGGCUAUGUUGGCCGGGCGACGGUUGUCCCGGUUUAAGCGUGUAGGUGUGUGUUCCAGGUAAAUCCGGUUCACUUUAACACUGAGGCGUGAUGACGAGGCACUACGGUGCUGAAGCAACAAAUGCCCUGCUUCCAGGAAAAGCCUCUAAGCAUCAGGUAACAUCAAAUCGUACCCCAAACCGACACAGGUGGUCAGGUAGAGAAUACCAAGGCGCUUGA
rnacentral:rRNA from 2 species